GACGAACGCUGGCGGCGUGCUUAACACAUGCAAGUCGAACGGAAAGGCCCUGCUUUUGUGGGGGGCUCGAGUGGCGAACGGGUGAGUAACACGUGAGUAACCUGCCCUUGACUUUGGGAUAACUUCAGGAAACUGGGGCUAAUACCGGAUAGGAGCUCCUGCUGCAUGGUGGGGGUUGGAAAGUUUCGGCGGUUGGGGAUGGACUCGCGGCUUAUCAGCUUGUUGGUGGGGUAGUGGCUUACCAAGGCUUUGACGGGUAGCCGGCCUGAGAGGGUGACCGGCCACAUUGGGACUGAGAUACGGCCCAGACUCCGACGGGAGGCAGAAGUAGGGAAUAUUGCACAAUGGGCGGAAGCCUGAUGCAGCAACGCCGCGGGCGGGAUGACGGCCUUCGGGUUGUAAACCGCUUUCGCCUGUGACGAAGCGUGAGUGACGGUAAUGGGUAAAGAAGCACCGGCUAACUACGUG
rnacentral:rRNA from 1 species